UGGAAAAGGAUGUGGGAUUUCGAAGACAGCUAGGAUGUUGGCUUAGAAGCAGCCAUACAUUAAAAGAGUGCGUAACAGCUCACUAGUCGAGAGGUCCUGCGCCGAAAAUGUCCGGGGCUAAACACAACACCGAAGCCUGGGAAUGUAGUAAUACAUUGGUAGAGGAGCAUUCUUAGAGGCGUAGAAGCCAUACCGGAAGGAAUGGUGGAGUAAUAAGAAGAGAGAAUGCCGGAAUGAGUAGCGAGAAAGAGGUGAGAAUCCUCUUGGCCGAAUAUCUAAGGUUUCCUGAGUAAAGCUGAUCUACUCAGGGUAAGUCGGGGCCUAAGGCAAGGUCGAAAGACGUAGUCGAUGGAUAACAGGUACAGAUUCCUGUACUACAUAUAAUCAGAACUGUGGGGACACGGAGACUAAAACCGAACCCGGGAGGACAAAAACCGGGGCAAGCGAAGUACCUGUAUGGGAGGAAAAACCACCAUACAAGGGGAAUGCGUGAUGCGUACCGAAAAUUAGUAGGGAAGUCGGUUAGGGAGCCGUCAAGAAAAGCCGCUAUUGUGUUAUAUGUACCCGUACCGCAAACCGACACAGGUAGAUGAGGAGAGAAUCCUAAGGCCGGCGGGAGAAGCAUUGUUAAGGAACUCGGCAAAAUGACCCCGUAACUUCGGGAGAAGGGGUGCCACUGGAAACAGUGGUCGCAGAAAAAAGGCUCAAGCAACUGUUUAGCAAAAACACAGGUCUAUGCGAAACCGCAAGGUGAAGUAUAUGGGCUGACGCCUGCCCGGUGCCGGAAGGUUAAGAGGAGAAGUCAGGAAACGAAGCUUUGAAUUGAAGCCCCGGUAAACGGCGGCCGUAACUAUAACGGUCCUAAGGUAGCGAAAUUCCUUGUCGGGUAAGUUCCGACCCGCACGAAAGGCGUAAUGAUUUGAGCGCUGUCUCAACAAUGCACCCGGUGAAAUUGAAGUACCAGUGAAGAUGCUGGUUACCCGCGCCAGGACGGAAAGACCCCAUGGAGCUUUACUCCAGUUUGGUACUGGGAUUCGGUAAUACUCGUACAGGAUAGGUGGGAGACAUAGAAGCAUGGACGCCAGUUUAUGCAGAGUCGCCGUUGGGAUACCACCCCUGUAUUGCUGGAUUUCUAACCUGCGGCCGUUAUCCGGCCGGGGGACAAUGCCAGACGGGGAGUUUGACUGGGGCGGUCGCCUCCGAAAGAGUAUCGGAGGCGCUCGAAGGUUCCCUCAGAAUGGUCGGAAACCAUUCAAAGAGUGCAAAGGCAGAAGGGAGCUUGACUGCGACACCGACGGGUGGAGCAGGUACGAAAGUAGGACUUAGUGAUCCGGUGGUAUAAAGUGGGAUUGCCAUCGCUCAACGGAUAAAAGCUACCCUGGGGAUAACAGGCUUAUCACUCCCAAGAGUUCACAUCGACGGAGUGGUUUGGCACCUCGAUGUCGGCUCAUCGCAUCCUGGGGCUGUAGCAGGUCCCAAGGGUUGGGCUGUUCGCCCAUUAAAGCGGUACGCGAGCUGGGUU
rnacentral:rRNA from 1 species